AUUGAACGCUGGCGGCAGGCCUAACACAUGCAAGUCGAGCGGAUGAAGGGAGCUUGCUCCUGGAUUCAGCGGCGGACGGGUGAGUAAUGCCUAGGAAUCUGCCUGGUAGUGGGGGAUAACGUCCGGAAACGGGCGCUAAUACCGCAUACGUCCUGAGGGAGAAAGUGGGGGAUCUUCGGACCUCACGCUAUCAGAUGAGCCUAGGUCGGAUUAGCUAGUUGGUGGGGUAAAGGCCUACCAAGGCGACGAUCCGUAUCUGGUCUGAGAGGAUGAUCAGUCACACUGGAACUGAGACACGGUCCAGACUCCUACGGGAGGCAGCAGUGGGGAAUAUUGGACAAUGGGCGAAAGCCUGAUCCAGCCAUGCCGCGUGUGUGAAGAAGGUCUUCGGAUUGUAAAGCACUUUAAGUUGGGAGGAAGGGCAGUAAGUUAAUACCUUGCUGUUUUGACGUUACCAACAGAAUAAGCACCGGCUAACUUCAUG
rnacentral:rRNA from 1 species